rnacentral:rRNA from 1 species
UACGGAGGGUGCAAGCGUUGUCCGGUAUUUAUUGGGUUUAAAGGGUGCGUAGGCGGCUUUUAAGUCAGUGGUGAAAUGACAACUAGCUCAACUGUUGCAGUGCCAUUGAUACUGAAGAGCUUGAGUACAGAUGAGGUAGGCGGAAUUUAUGGAUGUAGCGGUGAAAUGCAUAGAAUACCAUAAAGAACACCUAUUGCGAAGCAAGCUUACUAGCUGUAACUGACGACUAGGCACGGAAAGCG